rnacentral:rRNA from 1 species
ACUCCUACGGGAGGCAGCAGUCGAGAAUCUUCCGCAAUGGACGCAAGUCUGACGGAGCGACGCCGCGUGCGGGAUGAAGGUCUUCGGAUUGUAAACCGCUGUCACGCGUUAUGAAUGCGCAAGGGCCAACACCCCUUGCGUUGACCAAGGCGCGGGAGGAAGACACGGCUAACUCUAGUGCCAGCAGCCGCGGUAAU